rnacentral:rRNA from 1 species
GACGAACGCUGGCGGCGUGCUUAACACAUGCAAGUCGUACGGUAAGGCCCUUUCGGGGGUACACGAGUGGCGAACGGGUGAGUAACACGUGAGUAACCUGCCCACAACUUUGGGAUAACGCUAGGAAACUGGUGCUAAUACUGGAUAUGUGCCCCUGCGGCAUGGUGGGGGUUGGAAAGCUCCGGCGGUUGUGGAUGGACUGGCGGCCUAUCAGCUUGUUGGUGGGGUAGUGGCCUACCAAGGCGGCGACGGGUAGCCGGCCUGAGAGGGUGACCGGCCACAUUGGGACUGAGAUACGGCCCAGACUCCUACGGGAGGCAGCAGUGGGGAAUAUUGCACAAUGGGCGCAAGCCUGAUGCAGCAACGCCGCGUGCGGGAUGACGGCCUUCGGGUUGUAAACCGCUUUCAGCAGGGACGAAGCUUUUUGUGACGGUACCUGCAGAAGAAGCACCGGCUAACUACGUG